UCUCACUUACAAGAGCAUAAAACUGCAUAACACGCAUAUAUAACAUCAUCCUAAAGCUUGUUCAAUGAGCAUUACAACACUAUUAACUCAAGAAAACCUCAGUAUAUACUCUCACCUGAACAACCUGCAGCUGAUUUUUCAUAUCAUACAUUAAACUUUAAAGUACGAUAGAGACCCAAAUAUAGCACACAAAUCUGCACAUAAAACCAAUAAUUCUCACAAUAAUUUCAGUUUAAACUUCUCAUUGAAUAAUUUCAACGCCCAAAGAUGUACAUUUUUUUCCUCAAACUAAACAUACCCAGUACCUCAAUUGCACACAAAGUUGCACAAAACAGCUCAAAAUUCCAAUCUAACAAAAAUAGGAGAUAAAAAGAACCCAACUUUCACAAUCCAAAAACAGAUGGUACACAGAGUAAUGUCCAAACUCCAAAGUAAUAGUUCAAAUACAUUGUGAGAAUUAGUAUAUGAAAAUGAGUCUUGACGGGAUCACUCGUGGGGGCGUGACCGUGUGAGUCGUAAGGCAGAGAACUAGUGAGGGCUUGACUGCUUGAGUCGUGUGGCCGGUGGCGGACUAGCAGAGAACUCGUGAGGUACGAAUUUUGAGGGUGAGGAACUGAGUGAGUGAGGCAUCUGGCGGAGAAAGUAAAAU
rnacentral:lncRNA from 1 species